GUGUAGGUGUUUGGGAGGAGCUCAUUGCAAAGCUGGAGCUCAGAACUGAAUUAAAGACCAGUCCAUAUAUUUGGAAGCCACGGCAAUACUGAAAGGUAUAUGGCAUGUGAUUAGCCAGGGAGGGAUCUUGAGGGAGUAGAGAAGACUGACCAGAUCCAGCCCCAGGGGGGGAAAGAAAGGGAAGUCCAGGAAGGAGAUAAACACAGAUAUGAAGUAAACAGAUAUGCUGAGGCUAUAUAGCUCACAGGGAGAUAGGCAGGCUCAGCCAGAAGGACAGUGACCCAUCUCCAUUCCUGACUGCUUGCUCCAUCAGCUCAUGGUCUAUGUGAGGCUCCAUUCCUCCAACUCCAGUCCAGGGCAUUCCUACAGGUCUCUCCUGCCCACACUGCUUACAGGAGUCAACCUAGAAAUACAGAAUUGCAGUAUCACCCAACUUCUGAAGACAUUCAUUUCAGAAUGCCUUUGUUGUACUGGAGCCUACUUGGGUCAAGUAGGCGAGUCCUGGAGGGGCUAAUGUAACCCAAAAUAUAGAGUCAGCUCCUGGAGGCCUUUAGGAAAAGAACGAAGACUUGAGCAAAACUCAUAUUUCUAGACCCUCAGGACUAAAUUUUAAUGCUGUCUUGAGAUAAUACCUAGACUCUAAGAACUCUAGGUUGUGCUUUGGGUUGCUCCUUCUUCAGUAUUGAGAAGUUUGUAUGAGGAAGUGGAAAUAAGAAAGGAGAAGUAUCUGGAGGUUGGGCAAGAGGAUGGCUUUUGAGAAAAAAAAUACCUAGAAGAUCAUAUCAUCAAGCACCAGGAUACUGAAGAUAACAUCGAGGCUCCAGGCGCAGAAAAGCAACAAAACCAGACAAGCAACACCACCACUGACCGACCUCAGGACCAGCUGCAUCGGAUAAUGACCCCCUGUCCUGGCACCAACCAAUCAGUGGGGACCUAGACCCUGAAAGGACAUACCUGGAAAGCUGCCAAAUAUUCUAUUGAGACCUUCCCCUAAAAUCUCCACCCUUAAACCUUAGGACAGAGGACUCUCCCUCCAGAGAGCAGCCCUCUCCUUUCCCUUCCCCCUCCUCCCCAGGCGGGCUACCAUGACCUUCCUUACUCCCCAGUUCCAAGGGCCCUUCCUUUACCUCUAUAACUCCUAAGCCCAUUUCUUCUACAAAUUACUUCUAUCCUGUGAUUUCCCUAAUAAAUGUUCUCUUAUAGUUUCA